GCAUUUUGUCAAAUAUUAUGUGUGCAUUAUAUUUAUGUACUAUAUCAUUACAAAUUGUUUUCUCCACAUCCAAUGGGUUACAAAUAUAAUAACUUUAACAAUUUACAAGGCUGAAGUUUAAAGCCGAUUUACCUCGAUGAGAGGACGAAAGAUUGGGACUGAGAGCGGGAGCAGGCGCAAGAGCAAAAGUGAGAGCAAGGUGGAGCGUGAGUGCGAGUUGAAUCAAGAUCAACAAUAGCAAGACCAAGAGGGGAGUGGGAGUGAGAGAGUGAGCGAAAACGAUACAGAGCUUGAGAUCCAAAAGGAGAGAGAAAAUGAUUUCAUGCAAAGGUAGAGCAUGAGAUCGAGAGUGAGAGAGAACAAUCUUUUGCUUUAUGAUCAGAGGGGGAGAUAAGAUGAUUUCCUAGCUGAGAUGCAAAGGAAAUGAGAAGGGAUUCCUGGCUGAGAUGCAAAGGGAGGGAGAAGAGAUGCUUUCCUUUUGUUUUAAUUCCAACCGGUUCCCUUUUUUUUGUUUUUAUUCACCUUUUUUUUUUAUUUCGUUAGAUUUAAAAUCCCAAUUGUUGGAUUCAAAUGAGUUAAAUCCAAUGGUUUAGAGACACCUUCUGCACCAUAGGGGGGAUUUUAAUUCCUGCAUUGUAGCCAUAGCCAUAAAACACAGAUUCAAGAUAGCAAAUAACGAAAGAGUCGUUAAUUUGAAUUAUGAGAAUUUGAAUAAAAUAGAGUUGGGCUUGCCAAUGAACAUUGAACUUACCUUUGCAGAGAUAAAAUACAUUGACUUUGUUGAUCUGAUUAUCAAAAUUCCUGAUUUUGAUCCUGAAGCUGAAGUUGAAACAACCAGAUUUUUUAGCAUUCUUAAUUCAGUGAGGAAAACCACACAAUAGUGCUUCGCAUUCUACUUUUAGGGUAACUAAUUAAAUAUUUCUGCAAUAUACUUCAGUUUAUAUAAAUUAAUUAAUUAUGCAUAAAAAAUACUUUAUUCCCGUAACUUAAAAGGCACAGAAGUCUAACUUCAAUUCCAAAUAGAGUUUUAAUUGUAGUUGGUUGCUAUUAGCUUGUUGAACACUUGUUGAAUCUCAUGUAUUAUCCUUUUUUUUAUUUCAAUGAUUUAUAAUGUAGAUUUGAAGUUGUUUUGAUUUUUUUCAAAAAGAAUAAGAAAAUGAAUUGGUUGUGUUCCUAAACCGAAUAAAAGUUUUCAAUUAACUUAAAUUAAUUCCUACUUUUUUAGUUAAUUAUAUUAGGAAUAUUUUUGUAAUUAAAAAUUUUGGUUUCUAAUGUAUAUUUUAAAGUGUAAAUAACUUCACUCUUAAAUUUUGGAUUAAAUACUUCGAUAAUAGUCUGUGAUAUUUUUCAGAAAAGUAUGAGCACCAAAAAUAUUUCAUUAUUAUUUUUAUUAUUUUAUUUUUCUAAUGACAAUUCCCGACGCAUUUGAAUCACAUUAUUAUUUGAUUUUACACUUGUCUAAACCUUUUUCGAUCGAAGCAAAAUGAAUUUUCAUUUUUCAGUCUUGGCUCACUACAAGAAAAAGGACCUAUCAUGAUAGGAAAAAACUGUCAUUGUAGGGGGUGAAUGACGGUUAUCCUUACCGUCAUUGUAGCCAGCGUCAAGAAAAGAUGACAGAUAAAACCACGUCACGAGUUGUGAUAAAUUUUACCUGUCAUAAUUAUGUCAUACAAUUUAAAAGAGGGAAAUUAUUAUUUUUUUA
rnacentral:lncRNA from 1 species